UUUGGCGACUGUCCAACAACCUGUUCCAUGCAGCAUUGUUUCGAGAGCAUUUACAGAUUGGCCGCCGUCCGGCGAAUCUAAUCCAGAGCUAUGGCGACCGUUCCGCGAGACUGUUCCGUGCUGCGUGACUGUUCCGGAUUGCAAGAACCUAUUUUAAAAGGGAAAAAACAAAUUAUUGCUCUGAUACUGCACGAAAAUGAUACAACAAAAUUACCAAAAAAAUUGACCGGGAACGUGAAUCGGUUCCGGUUGAUCUUUCGUUCCGAGGGCACAUGACCUUCCAUCGGAGCUGAGGUUGUAGACUGCUCACCGGUUCCUACGCUUCGCCGGGAUGGGACGGAACGUGAUUUGCUUUUUGCUGCUCGCGGGGCCAGUUCCUUUCUGUCCGGUGGGCAGCGCUGCGCACCCCUCGGUUCUCGGUCGUGGCCCCAUUGCUCCCCUCGUAGUGAAGCAGGCUGAGAUCAAGCAGGUUUUUUGAGCUGGAAAUGGGAAAGGUUAGCUGGGAAAAAAAUCAAGGAUAACUUCCUUCCUUCUUGAUCUCGGUGUCAGAACGUUCCUCGUAGUGUUGACCACGCUAUCGUCGGAGGAGGCCCGAGUGGUGCCGAUGCCACUGAUAGAGACGCUGCAUAU